ensembl:lncRNA
UGCAAGUACUUAGCUAACAAAAAAAAAAACAAANCCCCCCAAAAAAAAACCCCAAAAAAUAUAGGCUGAGUGAAACAGCAGGAGCCUGGUAGAAGCAGCCCCCAGUCCUAUUUAACCUGUGCUCACUAGAGUCUUUGCAUAAAACUGUCUCUGUUUGGACAGCCCAGGAGCAGGUUAACAGCCAAUAUAAACACCUCAAAUUUGUGCUGUAACACUCCCUAACUCAUGUUGUUCUAGCUAAAAAGGGAUCUAUAUUUUCCAGACUAUGAAUAUACCAUGUACUUUUGAGCAUCAAGGUCAAACUGUGAUCACAUCAGUGAAGCCCAGCAAAUGAUGGUCAGCCAAUAUUCACAAUUCAUGGAAAUGAAAAUGCUGAAUUACCAGAGACUUGCUUAAAGAGGAAAAGCUACAAGAAAAUUCAGAGCUGCUGGAAACACAUAUAUGUACAUAUAAAUAUGUUCAACCCUUUGGGUGUUAUUAGAGUGGAAAUAACAUCUAGAAUAUGUUAAAUCUCUGUGCAAUGAAGGAAAGGGUUCAUGCAUUUUUUAAUAGGAAAUGACAGAGGGCAUUUCAUCCCUGCAGAACCAUGUUGUUUUUACUUAAGCUAGUUUUAAAACAGGUAGUUUAGCUGCUGGUUAGUGGAGAGCUCAGAAGACACUGAAAAAACAAAGCAUUUACUUUGUUUUCUUCAAGUGUGAUGGGAGGUGUUUUAGCUCACAGUGACCUCCUCCACAUGACUGACAUCUGUGUCAGCUCAAGCUGCUUGAUCAACUGAUGAUAGAAAAAUCAGGAAGGAUGUAUUGAGAAUUUUCACACCAAGCACAACUUAGAUGCUCAAAGGCUUAAAAUAUUUGAUCUUUUGACCACUGGCAUGAAGCAGUGAUUACUUGAAUUUUUUUGAGACAGUGUCCUAACAGGUGGGACUGAAAGUCUUAAAUAUGUGAAAAAAAAUAAUGUACAUGGCUGCCAGACAGCUCAUCCAAAACCGUUGGAGACACAGUAAAGACAGCAUUUAGCUUGCUCAAAGUUCUAGAUAUUAGAGACAGAAUUGAUUGUAAUGAAUGAAAUUUGCUUAAAGCAUUAAAGAAUAUGUUGAUUCCUAUCUGUGCUGUUUUCAAAUUCACCCCUUAUUGGAGAUGAUUA